UCUAACCCAGGUGAGAGAGGAUGGUGGCUCAGACCAGGGGAAUGGGAGAAGUGAUCCAAUUCUGGGUCUAUUUUCAUGAUGGAGCCAGUAGGAUUUUCUGAGGGGUUGGAGGUAGGCUGAGAGAGAAUGGAAUCCAGGGUGAUUCCAGGGUUCUGGCUUGGAACAAUGGGGAGAAUAAAGCUGCUAUUAACUGGAAUGGAGAAGAUGCAGAGGGAGCUGGCUGGGGAGUGCGGUUGGGGAUGGACUCUCAGGAGCUCAGCUUUAGCUAUGUGAAUCCUGAGGUCCUCAUUAAUUGCCCAUGUGUAGAUGCCAAGAAGGUUGCAGCUUUAGAGGGAUAGGAUGUUUUAUGCCUCAUGAAUCUUCUAGCCUGGUUUGUUGAUUGCAUGAACCAAUCAAUUAACCAAUCAGUGAACAAUAGUGAAGCUCUAUCUGAGUAGAGGUUGCAGGGGGAAUUGAUGAGAUUUCUGUCUCUAGACUGGGUUGAGAGAGAGAAACAUUAGUUUAUUUUUGAACAGCCCCUAUUUCUGAAAAUGGAUAGAUGAGGAGGGAAGAAGGGACCAGGGACAGACAUCUUCUCCGUUCCAAUGUUAGCAUCUAUGAAGUCUUAGAUCACAAAAUGUUUAUUUUUAUUGGUUUAAGAAGAUCCCAUAACCUCUUCCUCAUUCUCCUUUGAAGAUGCCAUCAGGCUUCAGAAUGUAUGCUGCCAUUGUUGCUGAAGGCAUUAUCAUUAUGAUUAUUUAUGACAGUGCCCUGUUUUAUGCAAUAUGCUUAUAAUAGUAGGGGUAGAUUUAUUAAGGUAUAUGAAAAUACAUUAAGACUCCAGAGAUGAAAUGCCUGGGUUUGAAUCCCGCAUCUACUAUUUAUAAGUUGUCAGACUUUGGGCAAGUUACUUAACCUCCCUAUGUUUCAGUUUUCUAAUCUGUAAAAUGGGAAUAAUAUUGGUACCUAUCUCAUUGGGUCAGUGUGAGAAUUAAAUUGUUAAUUAUUGAAGUGUUUAGAAUUAUCUGGCACAUAGUGAAUCCUAUAUGUGAUAGCUAUUGUUUUUAUAUCAAGCACUGUCAAAUAUAUAUCGGGUAGUCAUGAUGAACAUUAAACUUGGCAUAAUCCCUGGCCAUGGACCUAUUGAAGAUUAUUGAGAUAGAUCAUCUCACGAGGAAAGAAGAAAAUGAGUUUAGAAAGCUCACUCCACUCUGAACUACUGCUGAGAAGUCCAGAAAUAAACCAGAAAUACCUUUAACCUCCAAUACAAGGUCCAACUUGAUUUCUACCUAGCACCUCAGGAGCAAAGCAAAUUAACUGAGGGUCUCGGCGGGCCAUAAUUUCAAUAUUUGAGCAACGGCAACAUGGAACAAGAACCUACAAUGGUGGGCAAGUUUUCCGGAUGUCAGGCCAUGAAGUGCUUGGACUCACAAUUCCUAAGUGUGUUCUUGAAGAAAAACCAGGUCUGAGCCCUGGUAGGAGCACACAAAUGAGGGACCAUCGAGAGCCUUGAUGGAAGCGGCAUAUCCCUCACCCCCAGGGAGGAGCAGACCAGGGCUGGGAAAAGGGCUUCUCUCCCUUUCUGUGGCUCUGAUUAUAGAUGCUGGACUUGGAAGAUGAGGACGGGCUGGAGUCCUGCCCUGAGCUGGGAGUUGGAAUGUACAGUAGUGCUUUCAAGAUCUUAGUCAUCAGUAAACAGAGCUAUUAUGC
rnacentral:lncRNA from 1 species